GGCGGACGGGUGAGUAACGCGUAGGAAUCUACCUAAUGGUGGGGGAUAGCCCAGGGAAACUUGGAUUAAUACCGCAUAAGUCCUAAGGGAGAAAGCGGGGGAUCUUCGGACCUCGUGCCAUUAGAUGAGCCUGCGUAAGAUUAGCUAGUUGGUGAGGUAAGAGCUCACCAAGGCGACGAUCUUUAGCUGGUCUGAGAGGAUGAUCAGCCACACUGGGACUGAGACACGGCCCAGACUCCUACGGGAGGCAGCAGUGGGGAAUAUUGGACAAUGGGGGCAACCCUGAUCCAGCCAUGCCGCGUGUGUGAAGAAGGCCUUCGGGUUGUAAAGCACUUUCAGAUGUGAGGAAAGGUUACAGAUUAAUACUCUGUAGCUGUGACGUUAACACCAGAAGAAGGACCGGCUAACUCCGUGCCAGCAGCCGCGGUAAUACGGAGGGUCCGAGCGUUAAUCGGAAUUACUGGGCGUAAAGCGCGC
rnacentral:rRNA from 1 species